GGUAGAAAUGGGCUACUUCCUCAAAUGGUUAGAGCGUCCGCAUCGAAUGCGGGAGGUCGUGGGUUCGAUCCCCGGUCGAUUUAUACCA